CAGUCGCCACGGGAAUACGUAGGUGGCAAGCGUUGUCCGGAAUUAUUAGGCGUAAAGGGCUCGCAGGCGGUUUCUUAAGUCUGAUGUGAAAGCCCCCGGCUCAACCGGGGAGGGUCAUUGGAAACUGGGAAACUUGAGUGCAGAAGAGGAGAGUGGAAUUCCACGUGUAGCGGUGAAAUGCGUAGAGAUGUGGAGGAACACCAGUGGCGAAGGCGACUCUCUGGUCUGUAACUGACGCUGAGGAGCGAAAGCGUGGGGAGCGAACAGGAUUAGAUACCCCUGUAGUCCCUGUCUCUUAUAC
rnacentral:rRNA from 1 species